rnacentral:rRNA from 1 species
GACAGAGGGUGCAACCGUUGCUCGGAAUCACUGGGCGUAAAGGGCGUGUAGGCGGGCGAGCAAGUCGGGCGUGAAAUCCCUAGGCUCAACCUAGGAACUGCACUCGAAACUUCUUUUCUUGAGUGCCGGAGAGGAAAGCGGAAUACCUGGUGUAGAGGUGAAAUUCGUAGAUAUCAGGUGGAACACCAGUGGCGAAGGCGGCUUUCUGGACGGUAACUGACGCUGAGACGCGAAAGCGUGGGGAGCAAACAGG